GCGACGUAACGGCAUGUUCGGCAAAUCAGUGUGGAGGAACUGGACCUAGUGGGCGGAGUCUGACUUCCACAGGGAGCGGUCCGCCAAAUUCAAAUAGCCACUUGAAACAAAGCAAAGGAUAGAUAGACUUCACCAAGCUCUGCGAUUUGGGAAAAUAAGGAUCUCAUGAUGACGUCCACUAUUGUGAGCGGGGUCUGGAGGUCACAUUCUGUCCUCGAUGAGUCAGAGCCUGACAGCUCACCCGAAGCAGCACAGCAGUUUAAGAAGAUGCGAUCCUCCAGCUCGCUAAACUCACUGAGAAUGUCUCUGCGCAAGCGGCUCCCCUUGAAACCAGUGCAGUCUAACGUCAACAUCUCUGAGAACCCCACCUGGGAGUCACUACAGAUGAACCAAAAAGCCAGUGUUGUCCGCAAAAUGACCCGGAGUGCAAAAAACUCCAUUGGAAACGUCUGUCAGAAACUUCAAAGGAGCAGACAGCCACGUCAGGAGUGUCUGGUCAUGACACCACGUAGAACGUCAGAUGGAGAGGAAUGUGAUUGCAUUGGAACAUCACAAACCCCAAAACGAUCUGCUGUCCGCACUACCAUCACCCCCAGGCAAACUCCAAGGUCAACCAGCAAGCGGACUCCUCGAGGGGCCUGUACCCUAGAUGCCAGUGACUCUGCUGUUAGGACAGUGAAGACCAGGGGCACCAGGAGGCAGCUGGUGCGAAUGGCUGCACUCAGAAGCCCUUUUGCAUCACCCAACACAAUGAACAGCAGGAGGCAGUUUGAUGAGGAUCUGGAUUGUGUGUCCAAAGGCCUCCGGAGGCUAAAGCGUCUCUCUCAAGCCUUUGAUGAUGCGAUUGGGAAAGAUGAUCGGGUCCAGGCCUUGGAGCACUACAAAGCGGUCAUGAGCAAGGGCUACAGCUCCACCAAGAUCAACAUUUCCAGAGGACUGAACAGGGCUUCCAUCCAAAAACAGACGCAGCGCAUACAGCAGACUGUAAGCAGCUGGACUGAUGUGGCCAUGUCAAACAUCCGCAACGCCACUUAAAAGAGGCAACUGUUUUCCUUAUGCUAUCAAACAUGUAUGUUGUCUUGUGUUUCUCAGUAUAUGCCAAAAGAGGCCUUGUCUAGUAUUUAGAAGGGACACUUUUCUUAUCUGUCUGUAGCUUUUAAGUGUUUAAAGGGCAACUGAAUAUACUGUAUCACUAUAUGGGAACAUUUGCAUUUAUAGUUGCUGAUUUUCAGAUUUAUGUGCAUGAUUGUAAUUCAUGCACAUUCAUGGCUCAGCAUGCAUGACAUACUGAAGCAUUUAGUAAUGUUAAACUAUUUCUGCUGUGAAAAGCCACCAAAAGAUGUGAAUACUAAAUGUAAGCAUAUUAAAAUGUGUGGAGAGGUCAAGGAAUUAGGAAAAAAUGCUAAAUGUUAUUCACCAAAGACAAACCAUAUUCAGGUUUUUUGUGAAAAUAUCUAAUACCACUACCGAACGCUAAACUGACAUGGUCAUAUACUGUCUUGACUGUGGGAGAUGUUACUAACAUUACUAUGUUUACUAACUGUUUUAACCUAUUUAGUUGAAGUUUAUUAACAGUAUUUUACUACUUUGGUACUUAACUGAGUGUAAUGCAAAGCAUUAGUAUUUGUGUAUAGGGAGGAUAAAAUGCAAAGUAUUCAAUAAUUUCACUAUUUCAUCAAGCAAAUAUCUUGCUAUUGUUGAUAUUAUGAAAGACACCAUAAUCAAAAAUUGUACUCACAAUAUAGUGAUCAAUAUGUAAACAUUACCAAAGGAGAAUAAGAGAAUUCAAGUGUGAUAAUAAAUUGUUUGAGUUUCAAAGUUGAGUUGUUUGAGUUUCAAAGUUGAAAUGUUUACAGUUGUAUCACUGCAUUAUGAUUUGUUUAAAAAAAAAGGACAUAAACAGCAGAAUUGUUUGCUUUUUUUAUAUUUAAUAAAAAAUGUUUCCAUAAUUAA